CCCCUCUCAGGGUCGCACAUGGAAAAGAGUUUCCAGUACUCUACCAGUAUCGACAAUGGGAGGGAGAGUCAAGCAGAGGUCUACCCAUUCCAUUCCUAGCUUGAGUAGUGGCUAGUGAGUGGAAGGCAGUCUACUACAAGU